AAUACAAAGGCUGAAUAAUCAAAAGUGUUUGAGGAUCACCAUCCUAGAGCAAAAAAUUUCACAUUAGAGUCACCCAAGAUGCCUUUUAAAAGGACAUAUUCCCAGUCCUCUCCUCUAGCAUUCAUGUUUGGUAGAUUGGGGUGAGUUACAGAAAAUUAUUUAAUAAACACUCCAGGUAAUUUUGAUGAAUACUGCUCUGCAGAUUGGUUCCUUAGAGGGUAAUUUAUUUACUCUGCCACCAGUCCCAAGGGAGAUCUUUGAUCCUAGUCCACAUUUAAACUUAGGAUGGGGAGUGAAUUUUGUUUGAUUGUUUAUGUGUUUUUGUGGCAUUUGAAUAUUUUGCUUAUUGGUUGUUGAAAGUGGCCUAAGUGACCUCUCCAUCUUCUGGAUUUCUCCAAUAAUUGAAGAUUUCUACUUUGUGACUCUGGAGAUCCACUUCUGCUAUCUAAACCCUUACCUGGGCUUCCCUCAGCCUUGUCCCUGGCUUGUAGCUCCAGAGUUCAUCAAAGUUGUGUCUUCCUUUACAAUUUGUCUUGGCCCUUUCCGGUAGGGCAGCCAACUAUCCCCAUGAGUCUGAAACAGAGAGAUUUACUGCAACUUCGGACUUUCAAUGCCAACUCCAGGAAAACUCCAGGUGGACCAGAAUGAGCAUGUCAUCCUAG
rnacentral:lncRNA from 1 species